GGACUGAUUAGCACAUAGGAACAACAGAGAACCCAGGACACAGCACACUGGGAUUGUGAUCCUUAUAGUUGUUAUGGGACCACUUAUGUUGUUGGUAGCCUGCUGGAUGUCGACACGGUUGCCGCUGAGCCCAUGAGCAUUAUCUAAUGAUUGUAUAUACUGAGAACAAAUGAUUUCGUAUUGCCUUUCCUGAAAAAGAUCCUGUGGAAGGAUCGAAACGUCGAUUUUAUGA